AAGUCGUAACAAGGUCUCCGUAGGGUGAGUUAUUACCGGCUUUCGACGAUUAUAUUGAACAAAUGCUAACAGUUUUUUUUUAGUGAACCUGCGGAGGGAUCAUUACUGAGUGAGGGCCUUUUGGCUCGACCUCCAACCCAUUGUAAUUCAAACCUAUGUUGCCUCGGGGGUGACCCGGCCCCGCAGUCGGGCCCCCGAAGGACCAUUCAUUUAACACUGCAUCCAUGCGUCGGAUUUUAAAAGUUUAAUUGUUUAAAACUUUCAACAACGGAUCUCUUGGUUCUGGCACCGAUGAAGAACGCAGCGAAAUGCGAUAAGUAAUGUGAAUUGCAGAAUUCAGUGAAUCAUCGAGUUUUGAACGCACACUGCGCCCCUUGGUAUUCCGGGGGCAUGCCCGUUCGAGCGUCAUUUCACCACUCAAGCCUGGCUUGGUAUUGGGCGAUACGGGGGUGACCGCGCCCGAAAGUCUGUUCGGCUGGAAAGCUCUGAUCUCAGCGUCGUGGUUUUAAUCAAAAUCGCUGGCGAGAGGGGCGGUCCACGCCGUGAAAUCUUUCUCAGGUUGACCUCGGAUCGGGUAGGAAUACCCGCUGAACUUAA
rnacentral:rRNA from 1 species